UACGGGGGGAGCAAGCGUUGUUCGGAUUUACUGGGCGUAAAGGGCGCGUAGGCGGCCUCCGCAAGUCAGUUGUGAAAUCUCCGGGCUUAACUCGGAACGGUCAACUGAUACUGUGCGACUAGAGUGCAGAAGGGGCAACUGGAAUUCUCGGUGUAGCGGUGAAAUGCGUAGAUAUCGAGAGGAACACCUGCGGCGAAGGCGGGUUGCUGGGCUGACACUGACGCUGAGGCGCGAAAGCCAGGGGAGCGAACGGG
rnacentral:rRNA from 1 species